UCAGCCCGAGGCCAAAGACGCCGAGGGGGGCUGUUUUCUGAUGCGCAGGGGCCCUGGCCUUCGCCCCUCACCAGAUAGCCGGAUUCCAGGGCCGUUUACGCCCCCGCGCACAUUCUAUUAUUAGAGAUGUUCAGAUUCCAAGCAAAACUACAGCUGAGCAUAAACCUCAAGAACUACUGGACUGACUUAGUGUCAUUCCAGUGGAAAAAGGGAUGUUUUUGAGUAGUGCCAUCUAUUUAUUCUUCUCCUAUAGGAAAAUGAAAUAUAGCUGGGCUGUUGCAGGCCAAAUGAUGUAAGAGGAUGUCAGCACUAUUCCCAUCCACUCUCUGGGGCUGAAGCAACCCUUGAAUAGCCCAUAGGUCAUACACAGUCCCAUCCUCCCACAAGAUCUGCUGUACUCUGCUAGCCAGUGUGACAUGGGCUGUGACCCACAGGAGGUAAUGGAGAGGUUUGACUUGGAAAGGCCAGGUCAGCCUCUCUGUGCUUGGCACUUUCCCAGUCAGCAGAACCAGGCUGCUCUGCUGCGCCUUCUCUGAAGUUCCUGAUGUCAGCAAUCACUCUGCUGUGGAAACACAGGGCAAGUGGAAAAUCAGCUUGGUCAGGGAUUCACCCAGCUGGUCUGGAACUCAGCCUCUCUUCCUAUGAGACGCAAAUGAACCUGUACCACAGGCUGGGCAGUGUCAAAGUACAUGGAAAUGUAGAGCUGCAGACUCACCACAGCCCAUCCCACCAUCUCAGGCUCCCCAUCAUGGGAUAAGGCAUUGGGUUUUAUAACUCCCUGUCUCCUACCUCUUACUGUAUUAACAGUUGUCUUGAAAGUGUUUGUGCCUUUCCUCUUGGGAUUCAAAAAGAAGGUUUACCUUCCUGUGCAAAAAAAUAAAAAGAGGAUAAAAAUAAUAGAGUGAGAAGCAGUGAGGAAAGAUAAAGUGUCCUUUCUCAGGUGGUCUCCAGACUACUGUUUGGAGAAGAGACAAGGCUAGGAACAGUAAAACAAUAUUUGGAAUUUCUAUGAUGUUUGUCCUUCUUUGUGAAAAAACUUAACAAGGGUUUACACUAAUUGUGCUCAGAAAGAUUUACAGUUCCCACACAUUUCUGUUUUGUUUUGUGACUUAUGGCAGGUGUUGUCAGCUUCACAAAUCACACUAUGAAACUUUACAGCUAUAGUUCUUUCUGACAGCAUCAUGUUUCCAUGUAUUUCCAUUCCCUUCCAUCUCCCUACAGCAUGAGACAUUGCCCUGGUGUGCCAACAGUGGCUGCUUACAGCUUCUCUGACCUCAUCCCAGGAAAGUAUCUGUAGAAAGUGUCUUGGGAGACUGCCCUCCAGAGUUUGCCCUUGAAUUUUUCCAUCAUUACAAACGGCAAUACAACUCCAGUGGCAGCAGGAGCCUGCACUGCCACAAUGUGUCCUGGAUCCUGUGAGGUGACAAAAGAGUAGGAUGGCUGAAGAUCUGUUUCCACAAGCCUUCUAUCAGCUCUGUGGAGGCACCUCUGGCCACAGCCAUGCCCUGUUGCAGGGAAGGAAAAAAAUGUUGGGUGGAGGUUCCUAGAGGCUACUCUGCAUGCACAAGACUGCCUGGUUGCAGGAAGGAAUGUCCACAUGCUGUAGGCAUUACCUGAGGUGCAAGCCAUGAUGCUGCCCAUGGGGCAAAGAUGUACCUCGAGUGCUUGGGAGGGAUGGCCAAAUGCCUGAGUGUGCCCAGACUCAGCUGUGCAGUCCAGACAGGUUGGAUAUAAAAGUUUUCUUUGUCAGCAGAUGACCUGAGCUUGGCUUUACUUGAACUCCUUGCUGGUUAACCUGGGAUAGGACGUGUGAGCUGCCACAUGCCCUCUGGGGUCCUCCAUGGCAACAACUUGCUUCCAAACCUGCAACUUCUGCAACCCAUGGCCUCCCUUCUCAACAUCUGCCUAGACUCUGCCACUGGCUUUAGUACCCUAGACACUUUGUGCAUGGAAAUUGGUCCAGCUUUUCUGUUUUGCUGCCCUUUUUAGAAAGGCAAUUUCUUCAGCUUGCCAGAUCAAUCUGGAUUCCAGCCUGUCCUCCAAUUUGAAAGCAAUCUCUGCAGUAUCAUAGAAUCUGUAGCUGUAGUAAGCAUAUUUUAUAUUUCAUCACCCAGCUCACUAAAUGGAAAAAAAACCCCGCAAUGUGUAUAAGACAGAACCUGUCAUGAGUGAGUUUUGUAUUUGGACUUUAAUGUUGAAGGACUGAAGUUUCCCCUUGGUAUGGUAGCCAGCUAGUUAGGCGCCUAUCUAACAGUAUUUCUCCAUAGGACGGCUCCUUACAAGGAGAGGACAAAACAGUCACUGAGAUCCAGCUGGACAGUCCUGCUAGACCAUGUAAACAGAGCAGCCGGCUGGCAGCUCUCUGCCCUUUGCCAUACCUGUGUGGCUACAGCAGGGAAGGCAUCACCCAGGCUGCCACAGAGGUCUGAGGCACUCAUGACUUGGAAGAGGUUUAAACAAACUUUUGGAGGAUGUUGGUGGCUGUUCAUAAUGCCUUGAAAGCCACCUGCUGCAGAGAGAUCCUGGUGAUGGCUAGAGGCUGAGGGGUAGAGCAGAGAUUGUGCCUAGCAUUACCUAAAGAUACAUUUUCAUGGGUCAUCUAUUACUUGGGUUAAUAUCCACUUGUGGCAGAUAAUGAAAGUGGCCAUCCUUUGGUCUAGAUUUAUCUAAGGUGCUGAAAACCAAACAGCCAGUGAAGUCUGAGCAGUAUCCUCAAUUCAGGCAUUGACAUUUCGCUGUCCCUUCUUUAAAGGCUUCACACCAUUUAUAUAAUAUAUAAUGUUAUGUGUGAGUUGGUAGUUCUUGCUAUGAAAAGGUCAUACCUUGAUUUCUAUUAUGUUUAAGUGGAUUUUUCUUUUCUGCAAAAUUGUAAGCCAGAAACAUGAUUGAAAGGCCAGAGUAAGGUAACAAAUGUUCAUUUUCUUGUAUGGUAUGUUAUAUGUUGUAAGUGAAAGCCAGAAAUCAGAAGCUUUUCAAUUUGACACAUAAUGAUUGCCCUUAGAUAUUGGACUGCUUUAUUUACAAGAUGUUAAAAAUUACAUUGUGAAUACUCAUAUGAUCAUAAUAAAAUGAUUGCCUGCAAAAGUGUGAAUUCCAUUUAGCCUUUACAAAGAAGCACUUAGUGGGCUUUGUACUGCGUGGGCAUGACCUUAGAAAAGGCCUAUCAUUUGACUAUGAAAACAUGGCUUAGUUCCAGUGCUAACAAUAUCGCUCUGCUAAAAUAGCUUUGGUGGGCACAACGACCUAUAAUUUUUGUAACACCACUGAAAAAAAUUGUUUUCCUUACAGUAGUGCUAAUUGUGUACAGGACAGAUUUUUUGGAGUAUAUUAAUAUUGGUUUGAUUAGCUAUAUUUAACAAAACUGUGAAUUGUGAACAAGCAUCUCUGGAUGAUUUUUUCAGUGAAGGGUGAAAACACUCAGGUCCCACAUUAGCAGUGUUCCAUACUUGAUUCUAUUAUCUCACCAUUUUGGUUUUUUAUAUGAAUCUUAACAGAGCAACCAGAGCCACAUCAGUAAUAUACUAUCAAAUGGUACAAAAAUAUGAUGACGAAAAUAUGACAGUGGACACUCAGAAUUAUAACCUGAAAAAGGCACCAAUGGAAUAGAAAUUGUUCCUCUGACCUUGUUCCCACUCAGCCUGGUUACAGAGCAAUUUAACUCUGAAUACCUCAGUAGUAAUUCCUGAUUUUCACCAGAGUGAAUAUGGCCCAGGGAAUAAUAUAUUUGCCAUCAGUUCACACUGACUGUUACCUUUUCUUUACUUCAGCUGACGUGUAUGAUGAGACUGACUAUUUUCUAGGCUGUAUCCUCUAACUUAUGUCACCACUGACGGCAGUAAAAUGAAGAAUGUAAAAUACAGCCAUUUCAGCUGAGUUGUGAGCUAUGACUGCAUGAGGUUAAGGGCUCAUGACAUGUAUGCAUGCUUGCUGCGAACACUACAGAAGAGGUGUUUUUGUAUCAACUCCAAAGAAUUUAGGUGAGAGCAAAUGCCUUUUUCACUUUUUGGUUCUGUUUGCCUUGACAUAAUUCUGCUUUCCAAAACCCAAGGGAAAAUAUUUCAACAAAGAGACAGUCUUCGGUGAUUAAACUGUCAUGAAACAGAGAUGAAGUUGGUGGGAUUGACUGGCUCUCACUGUGCCUUGACGCAGCUGUGGCUUGGAUGAGCAGGACUGGUUAUGAGUCAAUCUGACUAGGAUGGGAUCAUGCCAGAGGUCAGGGGAACCAGCUACUUACAGAAGCACAGGCAGCUAUUUUCUCCUUCAGGUUUUCCUAUUUUAAUGCUGGUGAUUUGUCACACUUACUGAAUGAAGAAAGUGUCCCCAGCACAGUCUUCAUCAUCAUGGACCCCUGUUACUUAGAGUGAUGCUGCUGCAGUCCAGCACCUCCAACCCUCACCUUUAGCAGGACCAAUGCAAGGACCUGAAAGAUUUCUUUGCAAGAGAAAGCCAAAGCUUGGGGAGCCACCCUGGUUUCCUAGGUUACUUGAGCAGACAGGCCAGGACCUCAUUUUAAGGGAUUCUUACAUGGCUCCAUUACUGAAGUAACGGAAAAUCAUGGAAAACGUUGGUAAAGGUGAUAUCUGUCAUUCCAUAUUCUGGCUCUGCCCUAUUUUCUUCUUUGCCUUUUAUUUUAUCCCUCCUGAAGGAACAGUGUCUCAGCCUCAUCCAAUAGUGUCCUCGUGUAAUAGCAAAGAGGUUUCAACUGCUGACUUUGAGACAUGGUGUUCUGUUGAAUAGAGAGGGAACUGUAUUAUGGAGAUAAAUUUUUAUCUCAGUUCACUAAACUCCACGAUUUGUUGACCAACAAAAGAUGUCAUGAAGCCUCUCCCCACGGGGCACAAUGUGCAAGAAGUACUUGUGGUUUCUUCUCUUGCAUGGGUUUGAAAGGAUCUGGAAAGACUGCUGCAUACUGACAUGAAGAGACUGCUUUGAACACAAACACGUAUCACAGCAAAGUUUAAAGAAACGUCAGACUUCUGAACUAAUAAAGUAAAACUGGAAUGAUGUGCAUAUCAAUAAAGGCAAGAAACUAUGCCCAUA